GCCCACGUAGCUCAGGGGAUAGAGCGUCGGUUUCCUAAACCGUGCGUCGCAGGUUCGAAUCCUGCCGUGGGCGCCA
rnacentral:tRNA from 2 species